AACGUAGGUGGCGAGCGUUAUCCGGAAUUACUGGGCGUAAAGCGUGCGCAGGCGGUUGUGCAAGACAGAUGUGAAAUCCCCGGGCUUAACCUGGGAACUGCAUUUGUGACUGCACGGCUAGAGUGCGGCAGAGGGGGAUGGAAUUCCGCGUGUAGCAGUGAAAUGCGUAGAUAUGCGGAGGAACACCGAUGGCGAAGGCAAUCCCCUGGGCCUGCACUGACGCUCAUGCACGAAAGCGUGGGGAGCAAACAGG
rnacentral:rRNA from 1 species